GACGAACGCUGGCGGCGUGCUUAACACAUGCAAGUCGAACGGAAAGGCCCUGCUUUUGUGGGGUGCUCGAGUGGCGAACGGGUGAGUAACACGGGAGUAACCUGCCCUUGACUUUGGGAUAACUUCAGGAAACUGGGGCUAAUACCGGAUAGGAGCUCCUGCUGCAUGGUGGGGGUUGGAAAGUUUCGGCGGUUGGGGAUGGACUCGCGGCUUAUCAGCUUGUUGGUGGGGUAGUGGCUUACCAAGGCUUUGACGGGUAGCCGGCCUGAGAGGGUGACCGGCCACAUUGGGACUGAGAUACGGCCCAGACUCCUACGGGAGGCAGCAGUGGGGAAUAUUGCACAAUGGGCGGAAGCCUGAUGCAGCAACGCCGCGUGCGGGAUGACGGCCUUCGGGUUGUAAACCGCUUUCGCCUAUGACGAAGCGUGAGUGACGGUAAUGGGUAAAGAAGCACCGGCUAACUACGUG
rnacentral:rRNA from 1 species